AGAGCGAACGCUGGCGGCAGGCCUAAUACAUGCAAGUCGAACGGAUCCUUCGGGAUUAGUGGCGGACGGGUGAGUAACACGUGGGAACGUGCCCUUUGGUUCAGAACAACUCAGGGAAACUUGAGCUAAUACUGGAUAAGCCCUCAUCCUUAAACAGAUGAGUGGGAAAGAUUUAUCGCCAUUGGAGCGGCCCGCGUCUGAUUAGCUAGUUGGUAGGGUAAAGGCCUACCAAGGCUUCGAUCAGUAGCUGGUCUGAGAGGAUGAUCAGCCACACUGGGACUGAGACACGGCCCAGACUCCUACGGGAGGCAGCAGUAGGGAAUCUUGCGCAAUGGGCGAAAGCCUGACGCAGCCAUGCCGCGUGAAUGAUGAAGGUCUUAGGAUUGUAAAAUUCUUUCAGCGGGGACGAUAAUGACGGUACCCGCAGAAGAAGCCCGGCUAACUUCGUGCCAGCAGCCGCGGUAA
rnacentral:rRNA from 1 species